AUUGAACGCUGGCGGCAGGCCUAACACAUGCAAGUCGAGCGGAGCGUCGGACGGGUGAGUAAUGCCUAGGAAUCAGCCUGUUAGUGGGCUAUAACGUCCGGAAACGGGCGCCAAUACCGCAUACUAUCAGAUCACCCUAGGUGGCAUUAGCUGGUUGGAGGGGUAAAGGCCUACCAAGGCGACGAUCCGUAACCGGCCUGAGAGGAUGAUCAGUCACACUGGAACUGAGACACGGUCCAGACUCCUACUGGAGGCAGCAGUGGGGAAUAUUGGGCAAUGGGCGAAAGUCUGACCGAGCAACGCCGCGUGAGUGAAGAAGGUCUUCGGAUCGUAAAGCACUUUUGGUAGAGAAGCGGUACCUAAACAGUAAGCCCCGGCUAACUUCGUGCCAGCAGCCGCGGUAAUAC
rnacentral:rRNA from 1 species